GAUGAACGCUAGCUACAGGCUUAACACAUGCAAGUCGAGGGGCGGCAUGGUCUUAGCUUGCUAAGGCCGAUGGCGACCGGCGCACGGGUGAGUAACACGUAUCCAACCUGCCGUCUACUCUUGGACAGCCUUCUGAAAGGAAGAUUAAUACAAGAUGGCAUCAUGAGUCCGCAUGUUCACAUGAUUAAAGGUAUUCCGGUAGACGAUGGGGAUGCGUUCCAUUAGAUAGUAGGCGGGGUAACGGCCCACCUAGUCUUCGAUGGAUAGGGGUUCUGAGAGGAAGGGCCCCCACAUUGGAACUGAGACACGGUCCAAACUCCUACGGGAGGCAGCAGUGAGGAAUAUUGGUCAAUGGGCGAGAGCCUGAACCAGCCAAGUAGCGUGAAGGACGACUGCCCUAUGGGUUGUAAACUUCUUUUAUAAAGGAAUAAAGUCGGGUAUGGAUACCCGUUUGCAUGUACUUUAUGAAUAAGGAUCGGCUAACUCCGUG
rnacentral:rRNA from 1 species